rnacentral:rRNA from 1 species
GAAUAUUAGUAAUGGGCGAAAGCCUGAACUAGCGACACCGCGUGUGCGAAGAAGGCCUUCGGGUUGUAAAGCACUUUUAGAGAGGAUGAGGAAGGACGGUACUCUCUGAAUAAGUCUCGGCUAACUACGUGCCAGCAGCCGCGGUAACACGUAGGAGGCAAACGUUAUCCGGAUUUACUGGGCGUAAAGCGCGUGUAGGUGGUUCUGUAAGUAGGGCGUGAAAGCUCCCGGCUCAACUGGGAGAGGCCGUUCUAAACUGCAGAGCUAGAGGAUGGUAGAGGGAGGUGGAAUUCCGGGUGUAGCGGUGGAAUGCGCAGAUAUCCGGAGGAACACCAGUGGCGAAGGCGACCUCCUGGGCCACUCCUGACACUCAGACGCGAAAGCUAGGGUAGCAAACGG